rnacentral:tRNA from 1 species
CCUUCGAUAGCUCAGUUGGUAGAGCGGGGGGCUGUAGAUUUAUAAUUGUGAUCCCUAGGUCUCUGGUUCGAAUCCGGCUCGAAGGA